rnacentral:rRNA from 1 species
GAUGAACGCUGGCGGCGUGCCUAAUACAUGCAAGUCGAGCGAACGGACGAGAAGCUUGCUUCUCUGAUGUUAGCGGCGGACGGGUGAGUAACACGUGGAUAACCUACCUAUAAGACUGGGAUAACUUCGGGAAACCGGAGCUAAUACCGGAUAAUAUUUUGAACCGCAUGGUUCAAAAGUGAAAGACGGUCUUGCUGUCACUUAUAGAUGGAUCCGCGCUGCAUUAGCUAGUUGGUAAGGUAACGGCUUACCAAGGCAACGAUGCAUAGCCGACCUAAGAGGGUGAUCGGCCACACUGGAACUGAGACACGGUCCAGACUCCUACGGGAGGCAGCAGUAGGGAAUCUUCCGCAAUGGGCGAAAGCCUGACGGAGCAACGCCGCGUGAGUGAUGAAGGUCUUCGGAUCGUAAAACUCUGUUAUUCGUGAAGAACAUAUGUGUAAGUAACUGUGCACAUCUUGACGGUACCUAAUCAGAAAGCCACGGCUAACUACGUG